rnacentral:rRNA from 1 species
UACGGAGGUGGCAAGCGUUGUCCGGAUUUAUUGGGUUUAAAGGGUGCGUAGGCGGCCUUAUAAGUCAGUGCUGAAAUAUCCCGGCUUAACCGGGAGGGUGGCAUUGAUACUGUAGGGCUUGAGUAAAGUUGAGGUUGGCGGAAUUGACGGUGUAGCGGUGGAAUGCGUAGAGAUCAGGAAGAACAUCGGUGGCGAAGGCGCUCUGCUGGACCAUAACUGACACUCAGGGACGAAAGCUAGGGGAGCGAAUGGG